CCUACGGGUGGCAGCAGUGGGGAAUAUUGGACAAUGGGCGAAAGCCUGAUCCAGCCAUGCCGCGUGUGUGAAGAAGGCCUUCGGGUUGUAAAGCACUUUCAGUGGGGAAGAAAGCCUUGGGGCUAAUACCCUCGAGGAAGGACAUCCCACAGAAGAAGCACCGGCUAACUCCGUGCCAGCAGCCGCGGUAAUACGGAGGGUGCGAGCGUUAAUCGGAAUUACUGGGCGUAAAGCGCGCGUAGGCGGUCUGAUAAGCCGGUUGUGAAAGCCCCGGGCUCAACCUGGGAACGGCAUCCGGAACUGUCAGGCUAGAGUGCAGGAGAGGAAGGUAGAAUUCCCGGUGUAGCGGUGAAAUGCGUAGAGAUCGGGAGGAAUACCAGUGGCGAAGGCGGCCUUCUGGACUGACACUGACGCUGAGGUGCGAAAGCGUGGGUAGCAAACAGGAUUAGAUACCCGGGUAGUC
rnacentral:rRNA from 1 species